rnacentral:rRNA from 2 species
GCGGCAACAGCUCAAAUUUGAAAUCUGGCCCUCGGGUCCGAGUUGUAAUUUGUAGAGGAUGCUUUUGGUGCGGUGCCUUCCGAGUUCCCUGGAACGGGACGCCAUAGAGGGUGAGAGCCCCGUCUGGUUGGACACCAAGCCUCUGUAAAGCUCCUUCGACGAGUCGAGUAGUUUGGGAAUGCUGCUCUAAAUGGGAGGUAUAUGUCUUCUAAAGCUAAAUACCGGCCAGAGACCGAUAGCGCACAAGUAGAGUGAUCGAAAGAUGAAAAGCACUUUGAAAAGAGGGUUAAAUAGUACGUGAAAUUGUUGAAAGGGAAGCGCUUAUGACCAGACUUGAGCCCGGUUAAUCAUCCAGCCUUCUGGCUGGUGCACUUGGCCGGCUCAGGCCAGCAUCAGUUCGGCGCGGGGGAUAAAGGUUUCGGGAAUGUGGCUCCUCCGGGAGUGUUAUAGCCCGUUGCGUAAUACCCUGCGCUGGACUGAGGUUCGCGCAUCUGCAAGGAUGCUGGCGUAAUGGUCAUCAGCGACCCGUCUUGAAACACGGACCAAGGAGUCGUCUUCGUAUGCGAGUGUUCGGGUGUCAAACCCCUACGCGUAAUGAAAGUGAACGCAGGUGAGAGCUUCGGCGCAUCAUCGACCGAUCCUGAUGUUCUCGGAUGGAUUUGAGUAAGAGCAUACGGGGCCGGACCCGAAAGAAGGUGAACUAUGCCUGUAUAGGGUGAAGCCAGAGGAAACUCUGGUGGAGGCUCGCAGCGGUUCUGACGUGCAAAUCGAUCGUCAAAUAUGGGCAU